AUUUAAGUAUUUUAAUUAAAAUAAAGAUUUGUGGAGUCUUAGAUGCUGAGUUAAUUAUAGCCUUAGGUU
rnacentral:tRNA from 1 species